rnacentral:rRNA from 1 species
AUUGAACGCUGGCGGCAUGCCUUACACAUGCAAGUCGAACGGCAGCACGGACUUCGGUCUGGUGGCGAGUGGCGAACGGGUGAGUAAUAUAUCGGAACAUACCUUGUAGUGGGGGAUAACUAUCCGAAAGGAUAGCUAAUACCGCAUACGCUCUAAGGAGGAAAGCGGGGGAUCGUAAGACCUCGUGCUAUAAGAGUGGCCGAUAUCUGAUUAGCUAGUUGGUGAGGUAAAGGCUCACCAAGGCGACGAUCAGUAGCUGGUCUGAGAGGACGACCAGCCACACUGGAACUGAGACACGGUCCAGACUCCUACGGGAGGCAGCAGUGGGGAAUUUUGGACAAUGGGGGCAACCCUGAUCCAGCAAUGCCGCGUGAGUGAAGAAGGCCUUCGGGUUGUAAAGCUCUUUUGUCAGGGAAGAAACGGUUGUGGCUAAUAUCCAUGGCUAAUGACGGUACCUGAAGAAUAAGCACCGGCUAACUACGUGCCAGCCGCCGCCGUAACAC